rnacentral:rRNA from 1 species
GUGGCAGACGGGUGAGUAACGCGUGGGAACCUUCCCUAUGGUUCGGAAUAGCUCAGGGAAACCUGGGGUAAUACCGAAUAAGCCCUUCGGGGGAAAGAUUUAUCGCCAUUGGAUGGGCCCGCGUAGGAUUAGCUAGUUGGUGAGGUAAUGGCUCACCAAGGCGACGAUCCUUAGCUGGUCUGAGAGGAUGAUCAGCCACACUGGGACUGAGACACGGCCCAGACUCCUACGGGAGGCAGCAGUGGGGAAUAUUGGACAAUGGGCGAAAGCCUGAUCCAGCCAUGCCGCGUGAGUGACGAAGGCCUUAGGGUUGUAAAGCUCUUUUGGCGGGGAAGAUAAUGACGGUACCCGCAGAAUAAGCUCCGGCUAACUUCGUGCCAGCAGCCGCGGUAAUACGAAGGGAGCUAGCGUUGUUCGGAAUCACUGGGCGUAAAGCGCACGUAGGCGGAUUUGCCAGUCAGGGGUGAAAUCCCGGGGCUCAACCUCGGAACUGCCCUUGAUACAGCAAGUCUUGAGUUCGAGAGAGGUGGGUGGAAUUCCUAGUGUAGAGGUGAAAUUCGUAGAUAUUAGGAAGAACACCGGUGGCGAAGGCGGCCCCACUGGCUCGACACUGACGCUGAGGUGCGAAAGCCUGGGGAGC